AUUGAACGCUGGCGGCAGGCUUAAUACAUGCAAGUCGAGGGGCAGCAUGAAUGUAGCAAUACAUUUGAUGGCGACCGGCAAACGGGUGCGGAACACGUACACAACCUUCCUAUAAGUGGGGAAUAGCCCAGAGAAAUUUGGAUUAAUACCCCGUAACAUAAUGAUGUGGCAUCACAUUAUUAUUAUAGCUACGGCGCUUAUUGAUGGGUGUGCGGCUGAUUAGAUAGUUGGCGGGGUAACGGCCCACCAAGUCUACGAUCAGUAGCUGAUGUGAAAGCAUGAUCAGCCACACGGGCACUGAGACACGGGCCCGACUCCUACGGGAGGCAGCAGUAAGGAAUAUUGGUCAAUGGACGCAAGUCUGAACCAGCCAUGCCGCGUGAAGGAUUAAGGUCCUCUGGAUUGUAAACUUCUUUUAUCUGGGACGAAAAAAGGCUAUUCCUAGUCACUUGACGGUACCAGAUGAAUAAGCACCGGCUAACUCCGUGCCAGCCGCCGCCGUAAGAC
rnacentral:rRNA from 1 species